rnacentral:rRNA from 1 species
AACGCGAAGAACCUUACCUGGGCUCGAAGCGCAGUGGAAUCCGGUGGAAACAUCGGCGCCCGCAAGGGUCGCUGCGGAGGUGCUGCAUGGCUGUCGUCAGCUCGUGUCGUGAGAUGUUGGGUUAAGUCCCGCAACGAGCGCAACCCUUACUCAUAGUUGCUACCUGCAAGGGAGAACUCUAUGAGGACUGCUCCGGAUAACGGAGAGGAAGGUGGGGAUGAGGUCAAGUCAGCAUGGCCUUUAUGUCCAGGGCUACACACGUGUUACAAUGCGCGCUACAGAGCGUUGCAAACCCGCGAGGGGGAGCUAAUCGCACAAAAGCGCGCUCAGUUCGGAUUGCAGUCUGCAACUCGACUGCAUGAAGCCGGAAUCGCUAGUAAUGGCGCAUCAGAACGGCGCCGUGAAUACGUUCCCGGGCCUUGUACACACCGCAUAC